AUGCGCGCUCCGCAGAGGACGUUCUUUUCCUCUGAACCUUAUUCUCAGCAACAUCCAUCAAUAUCAGGCGGUCGGUCUCCGCACGUCCUGCAGGAGAAGAUGUGCCCCUGUGUCUUAUUCACGGCCCUUCUUUCCAUUCCCCUCGCUGUGGGUUGGGUAAUACCAGCUGAAAGAGAAGAACUCCACAGGGUUUGUGCCGGGAAGGAAUUCCGCCUGCCAGUGUACUCAACGUCACGAACGGUGACUUUUACCCCAAACACUGAAGGACCUAAGCAUGUCCUGUUGGACAAAACCACCGUAAAGGAUCCACGGUUCGAAUGGACCAGAGAUAAGAUGUUGGUACUGAAAGAGGUGACUCACAGUGAUGAUGGACUUUUUGCCAUCAAACUCUCGUCUGGAUUCACCUACGAGACUGUUCGUCUGAUUGUUUCAGAAUGCAUUAAGUCCUACCACAGAAACUACGGGGAGAACUUUGAGCACAUCAUCCCAGAAAAUGGCUCCCUACUGGAGUUUUCUCCCCGAGGUGCUCCAUCUAAGGCCAUGCCCAUUGUGCUUUGGAACCGGACGGAACCUGAAACCAGUGAUGCGAGGCGGGGUCGGCUGAUGCGAGGCGGGAAGGUGUGGGUGGCCGAGAAAGUGACUCAAGUGGACCAAGGCAACUACACUGUGAGAGACGCGCAGGGGAAGGUGCUGUCCCGCAGCACCCUCGCUGUCCGUGGACACUCAUACAAUGUCACCCGCUUCAGCAAGGAGACUCUAAACCUGCCCCUCUUUCUACCUGUACAUCAUGCCCACCUCGUUUUUACCCCCACCCAACACCCUGAUGAAUCCUCACUGAGCCAUUUUGACCCCAAGCCCCCCCACGGAGCUGUGCAUCUUAUCCGCGAUGGCCAAAUAACAGACUACGACAUGCGCUACAGGGGCCUCAUCUCCCUGGGCAGGAAAGGUACCACCAAUGAGGUCGUCAUAGCGAGGCUGACCUCAAGGCAUGACGGGGUGUAUGAAAUUAGAGAUGGGAAUGGCAACCUGGUGUCCUCCACCUUAUUACAGGUGAUUGAAAAGGGGCCCAGAUGGCGAUCAUUCCUCAAGUCCAUCACUGUCCCUUCUGGGAUGUUCGUGUCAUUGGCUGGUUUCAUCUUUUUCAUGAGGCGCUACCCAAACUGCAGCCUGUCCAAGAUCAUCGCUGGCCUCAGAGUAAACCGCACACCACCAGCCAACCCUCCGAGAGUUAACAUCCAGGACUACAGCCAGCCCGUCUCUGAGCCCUCAGAAUACAACAGUCACUCCCAGCAGCCUGGACCACCAACAAAAUGGAGCCCGAGAGCCAGUCCUACUCAUAGUGGUUACACUCCAGUAACUGUCGGUACUCCGAGAGCUGAGAACCAGGGAACACACAGAUUGACAGCUGGGAGAUCCCCAUGUCAUAAUUCAACACCUGAGCGGGACUCAUCUAAUGAGGAACAGAGAAGGAUUUCCUUUUCAGUGCCUGGGGCUUCAGAUUGCCUCCACUCGUCCGAGGACUGUGUUCAAUUUCAGAUCAAGAAAGAUGGAGAUAAAAAAAGUUGGAGCCAAUCGCAAGAAUACUUCUCCACACUGCCACUAGACACAAACACCUCUGAAUCCUGCAGUGUUUACUCUUCUGAGAAACUGAACUGA
ensembl:lncRNA